rnacentral:sRNA from 1 species
AUGCGAUGAGUCGAUUAUGGUAUUUUUACCAUUUUUGCGCGGGGGAGGUCAUUAAGGCAGGAGCCGACUUUGAUAAAUUGUGUGAACCUUUUUAUCACAUUCACUGAAUGCCCCCGACCUCUGUCAGAAAUGACAGAGGUCUUU